GGGACAGUUCGGGAUCCACGACUAUAAAGGUUCUUUAAACAGGCACUGAUGACUGCACUGAGAACAGAGCUUCCAAGGACACGAGUGUGUGGAUGCUACUUCCCCUUCAACCAGGCCUUGUGGAGGAGGGUGCAGGGACUUGGACUGGCUGCUGCAUUCCGGCAUGACAUCGAUUGACAGCAAUCAUCUGUAAGGUGAUGCCACUAGGCCACCUGCCACUGCCCCUGGUCCAAAAUAACUUUGACCUGCUGCUUCACCACCACAACACCAGGCGUGCCCAGCGGGACCACUCAGAACUGCAGGACUUCUUACGAUAUGUCCGCAAUACCUACGUCCACCCUGGAGCAGCCUUCCCACCUGCAGUAUUAGUAAUAAGUAUUCGAGCGAAACAUGGAGCAAAGGACCAACAAACAUCUUGAAUCUUAUCAUCGCACUCUGAACAAUGCCGUUCAAGUGCGCCACCCAUCACUGUGGAUGUGUCUUCACCACCUGAAAGACCAGCAGCAGCUUGCUGAGGAGAAGCUGGAGAUGGCAGCCCGUGGUCAUGGUCAAGCUGUGGUCAUUGUUCAGAGUGACAUUUUCUGGAUGGGUUGCUUGCUUAUGGAGAAGGAGCCCCAUCUGUCUUCUUGAGCUAGCCUACCUAUGUUGUGUUGGUUCUGUCUUCCCCUCCUAAGGUCUAAUACAAGUUCACAAUUAAAUUAAUGUUUUGAAAAGAAAGUUUGCCAAGUG